rnacentral:lncRNA from 1 species
UUUUUAUGCCCCACCUACGAUAGUAGAGGGGCAUUAUGUUUUCUGGUCUGUUCGUUCGUUCGACCGUCCGUUCGUCCGUCUGUCCCGCUUCAGGUUAAAGUUUUUGGUCAAGGUAGUUUAUGAUGAAGCUGAAGUCCAAUCAACUUCAAAACUUAGUACACAUGUUGCUUAUGAUAUGAUCUUUCUAAUUUUAAAGCCAAAUUAGA